GAUGAACGCUGGCGGCGUGCCUAAUACAUGCAAGUCGAGCGAAUGGAUUAAGAGCUUGCUCUUAUGAAGUUAGCGGCGGACGGGUGAGUAACACGUGGGUAACCUGCCCAUAAGACUGGGAUAACUCCGGGAAACCGGGGCUAAUACCGGAUAAUAUUUUGAACUGCAUGGUUCAAAAUUGAAAGGCGGCUUCGGCUGUCACUUAUGGAUGGACCCGCGUCGCAUUAGCUAGUUGGUGAGGUAACGGCUCACCAAGGCAACGAUGCGUAGCCGACCUGAGAGGGUGAUCGGCCACACUGGGACUGAGACACGGCCCAGACUCCUACGGGAGGCAGCAGCAGGGAAUCUUCCGCAAUGGACGAAAGUCUGACGGAGCAACGCCGCGUGAGUGAUGCAGGCUUUCGGGUCGUAAAACUCUGUUGUUAGGGAAGAACAAGUGCUAGUUGAAUAAGCUGGCACCUUGACGGUACCUAACCAGAAAGCCACGGCUAACUACGUGCCAGCCGCCGCUGUAA
rnacentral:rRNA from 1 species